CAACAAAAUAGCAACUAAAUGAGCCCUUUCCUUACUCCCAAACCCUGCAAGAAACUUGCUGUCCUCGGCUGGUUUUGGCUAAAUUCAUAAGGUAUUUUGCUUUCCCAGGUCUUGCUCGCCCAUUUUGGGUAAGGGCAUUGAUAGUUCUUGUCCCUUUCUCAUUGUCCUGCAAAUUCAGACGGUAAUACUUCACUUUUUUCCUUUUCCAAUUUCUUUUUGAGUUUUUUCUUUACUUCAGAGUAGGAUUCAGCUUUCAAUUUGAAACUAAUAGAAUUUCAAACUUUUACAUUUGUCCCACAUCGAUAUUUUACACAACAAGCCCUGGAAUUGAGCCUCUAUAAAUAGAAGCCAUUCUCUUCAUUCUCGGAGGGUUUUUUUGGACACCUCAAGAAUGGGAUUUUAUCCUACAAAGUGUUUUCAACACCCCAAGUUUUGAAAUUUUUAAAUACUUGGUUUUAAAUAAGAAAUAUUCUCUUAUAAGCCAAAAUCUUGAAUCAUUGGAACAAGUUAAAACAUUCUUUUGAGUUAGAGUCAGUUCUGGUUAAAGGUCGAAGGUGAUCAUUGACUCUCAUCGCCCCUGUUGCUCGCCAAAAAGGUACCAAUAAAACAAGCAUGGAAAGCAAAGCUUUAGGAGAAGUAAAAUGACCGGAUGCUUAGAGCUUCGGACGAAGACUAGAAGAAGUAUCAGGUCGGAUCUACUUCUCUGACUCGUGGUUGAUCGACUCUUCAGCUUCCACUUGAGUUUUCCAGAGUGAGCAUGGCGUCCGCUGACCUCGAACACUCUUCUAUUACUUAUGUCUUGCUUUCCAUUCAGAGACAUGAUAUGAGACGACUUAUGUAUUAUUAUUCAGACUUUAGUACUCGAAUUUAGAUGCUCUUGUAUGGCCAGACCAGAUACUGGGGUGGAUUUCAUUUACUUCCGCACUUGUUAACAUUAUAUUAUAUUGUGAGACUUACGUUAUUUUACAUUCUUUCUCUAUUUUCUAUUAUUGUGAAUGUUAAGCCAAGGGUUAGCCUACCGAGGUGGGAAAGGUAGGUGCCCGUACGGCCUAAGCCAAAUGGGUCGUGACAAAACAUCUCCCUUUUUUCAUGAAAUUAGAACAAAGUAGGGACACACCUUAGGUGACAUCCCGAAAUCGGCUAUAUUACCCUUCAAUAUCAAAACCAUUCUUCAACAUGUGAUAAGUCACAAAAUAACGAUGCCAAAUCAAUAUGACAUUGUCAAAAGCACCCAUCAAGAUGAAGGAAUGCCGACAAGCAUCAUACCAUUAUUGCACUGCAUCGCAUUAUUACUUGAUCGAGUGUGGUGAUUGUUCGUAUUGUGAUGUUUUCAUUGUGAUUAUUGGAUUGUGUCGAAUCUAUUAUGGUGAUCAAAUUUGAUCAGGUAUAGUCGGACUUAUCAUAUUGGGGUUUAGAUGCUUACAUAGGUGAUGACGGAUUUCGGUUACGAUUAUAUUGUCUUGAUUAUUUUAUUUGCCUAUCUGCUUUAUUUUCUGGAUUGUGUUAACGAUGCUUAGUAGGCCGAUGAUGCCUACCAGUACUGUUGUUUGUACUG